GCUCCUCGCGGUGGCGCCGGGGGGGGAUGCCCUCCUCCCCGGGCUCGGCGUGCCCCGCCGCCCGCGAUCCUCGGGGUCACGGCUCGGUGCGCGGCGCCCCGGCUGUGUGCUGCGGCAUCAGCCGCACCGGGGAAACGCCCACGGAGCGGCGUCUGCUCUGCCCGUGUGAAUGAGUGCGGUGUGCGAUAUGAAGUGCUGUUCGCCUCGUCAGUCUGCUGCUAUAGCAGGGUACCGGCGGCGUGUGCCGCUGGGGUGGUCGUGCAGUAGGGGGCUGGAAGCAAGCAACGCUUUGCGGCUCCUCACAGAAAAGACGUGGAAGUGGUGGAGCGUGUCCACAGAAGGCAGCAAAACGGAGGGGUCUGCAGCGCAAGUCUUACGGGAGCGGCUGAGGGAGCUGGGAUUGUUCAGUCUGGAGGAGGGGAGGUUCAGGGGAGACCUCACUGCACUCUGCAACUGCCCGAACGGAGGUUGGGGCGGGGUGCAGUCGGCCUCUUCUCCCAGGUAGCAGCGAUGGGAUGAGAGGUGAGGGCUGGGUGCUGAGGGCGGUGCUUGGCUGGGAACUGGGCAGCCAGCGCUGACUGGAGUCAGUAGGGAGGCAGCCGGGGCUGAGGGACCAGACUUCGUGUGCCCAGAUCCCUGAGGCCCUGCCGUCCUGGUGCCGUGUCCUGGACAGCAUUUCAGGCCGCUGGGUUGAACUGGGAAGAGCAGCCCUCAGAAAGGAGAGACCAAACUGCUCUUUGGCUCCUGCACCCCGUGGGAUCUCCGUUCCCCGCACAUCCCUGGCAUCCAUGGAGGUAAAGCUGCUCAUUUUGCUGCAAACCCUCCUGUGUGUGUUGGACUGCUCUUUCCUUCCCACUCCUCCCUGCUCUGCAGGCUGAGACUGUCUACAACCACCUCUCCCAGAAAUAAUCUCUGCUUAAGAGGCUGGAAAAUGUGACAGUUUAUCUUCAUAUGCAGAGCUGAACUUAUUUGUAAUCAGCUUUAAGGCUGUCGUUUAUUUUACCAGCCUGAUUUCCACACCAAGCGGAUCGUGCGUGGCUGGCAGCGCUGCAUUCCUCCCCAUCCCACACAACCCAUCAUCACAUGGAUGCAUUCAGCACAGAGUUGCUCAUGGCCCCAUCUUCUCUGCCCCUGAGUCCAUGUGGCCAUCAUCCUGCCUCGCCUGCAGGUCACUGCAUGGAAGGCUCCAGAGGGUGUUGGCAAUGCUAUUGUUGACGUGGCUGCCAUGGGGGUGGGGAGACCCAGACACCCCUAAUGAAGCCUGAGGCAAGUAAGAGGCACUUCUUUUUGGCAAAUGAGAGGUUUUCAGUAAAAAUGCUUUUCCCUUGACAGCCAGUGGAAGUAUCUGAGCUACGGCUGUCAGAUCAAAUGUGUGCUUUCCCUUUGGCCUCCCAAGGAAGAUAGGGAUGUGGUUUCAUGCCAUCUAGGAGUAAUCUGAUGUGUUUGCUUUUCAUUCUGAAGGUGUUUAGGAGUUUGAUGUUUAGCCCUUGUGGGUUAUUUAUUUAUGCCUUUUACACUAUAUCUUAUGUUUCCUAGAAAACCACUUGCCCAGCCUGCAUGUCAUAUAUUUUUGAUGUGGAAAGAUGUGGGAUUGGGAUGAUAAAUGAGGAAAGAGAAUUGGCAACAAGACUGGAAAAUCACUGGCCAGCUAGGUAACUUCAAUCCUAUCCAGCAGUCUGAACCUGAAUUUCAGCAUGCUCCGUUACCUGUGGCUUACCUUGGCUUUGUCAUACAGAAUUUACAAGGAGCAGUAAGUAGCUCCUUUAUGCUAGAGACCGGCAAGAAGCCAUGCUGCACUUAUGAAAGGGCAUGAAUGAUUAUUUUAAACCUCCCAUGUUGGACGAGUACUUACAUGGGUGUCGUGAUUUAAUUAACCAUUUUGAAUAUAACCCAAUGAUCAAUUUAAAUUACUGGUAAAAAUAAAAAAUAAAAAUCAGAUACUUAGAAACUGAACUAAAAUUAAGCACUGUAGAGCGAGCUUGUGCAGCUGACAAAGCCACCUGUCCAUGCUGUGAUAAGUGUUUUUCUCGAUGGAAGCAUUAGAAAUACAUUUGUUUGCUUUUUCAUGCCCAAGCUGAUCUUACUCGUUACACAGUGACUAAAUAGCUGCUGCAUUUCCAGGAUAAAUUCCAGAGGCAAACAGAUGGUGGUGUGAACAGAGCAUUUCGUUUGACAUACUAAUGUGGUAUGGAAGUCAGCAGGGACUUUCCUCCUCCUCACAAAGGAGCAAGGAGGAGGCUGUGUGAGCCAUAGCAAGGUGCAGAGUGACGCCCUGACACCAGGGAGGUUCUUUUGGAAGAAGAGAGCACUGGUUUGUCCCUAAUACGUGAAACACACAUUACUGGUGGCAUCCGCUCCGCAGACUGAUCCUGAGUAGCCAGAAUGAAUUGCACUCAGCUCUGCUGACUCUAUCUCCAGUGCUGAUGAUGGGAACCUGGAUGGCUUCUGCAGCUGGAAUGAUUACAAUCAUCAGUCAGAGAACAGUCCCAUUCCACUGUGAGUGGUCAGGAUCACGUGGUUACCAGGAACCUUCUUCAGAUCCCUCCCAAAAACGGACAGUUCCCACACCGGUGUGAGUGUAGGUGGAACAGAAGGCAGCAAACAAGAGCUGAGGAGUUUGUUGUGGGCCCCCACCCCCUUAUCUGACAAAGCCUCUGUGAGCACAUUGCCGUGUUUUGUUCUGUGUAUAUAUUCAGCCUUCCCUGCAAGUAUCGAGAUGCAUAAGCAGCGCGUGCCCUCCUCAUGGGUCCUGCUCACAUCAGUGAGUGCUGUCUGGGACUGGGGCUGCAACAUAAAUACAGACAAAAGGAGGACAAGUGGAAGUCCUUUGGUUUCUUUCAUCUGCAGGAAGCUUUAAGAUGUUAACCCCAGAUGAGACCAAAAGCUGCUGCCUUCAGCUCAAGGCUGUAAGGUAUGGUUCCCUGAAGCAGGUCACACCUAUGAAAAGCCUCCAAGAAAACUUUGUCUGCUCUGUCUUCUGGAGGAGAAGUCUUGGGAAUUCCUAAAGGUGGUGUGAGAUCCCUGCUGUACCCCACCCCAGCGUUUUCUGCCCGAUGUGAGCUAUGUUGUCACAUUUUAUGGGUUUGGUUUUCCCUUUGGGUGUGUUUCCUCACCUGCAGCGAGUUACAGGCUCAGAUUUCAUGUAGGAGCAAUCAGAGGCAUUGUGAACCGCUUGCAGGGUUAGUGAAAUCAGUGAUAUGGUAUUGUCCUGGUUAACAUACCUGUGGAAGGCAAAGUUGAGAAGCCAACAUACAGAUGUAACUUAUGUAGGUAAGUCUAUGUCUGAAAAGUGUCUGUUAAACUGCAGAAACAGUGCAGCAGCCUGUGCUAAAGGAAGUUUUAUGAAUCUGGAUUGGGAUGUGUAGCUGCAGUUUUUAGGAGACCUGUGUCUGCAUGGCUCUAUAGGGACAAACCCUUCUCCUGCUCUUGGAGUGACUAUAAAUAGCCCAAAAUCACAGCGUAGGUGGGUUUGUUUGGUUACUGCAGUGCUGUGUGGCAAUUCUAGCUGGAUGCCCCUAAAUAAUCCUACUGGCCAUGUGUACUAGAGAGCUUAAGGCUUUAAAAAGUUCUGGGUCGAAUUUACUCUUGUUAAAUAAUCAGUAUUGAUCAGGUCAUACGAUGCACUAUCCGAGCGGUCGUUCAAACACCCCAUCUAGUAGGAGUUCAUUUUCAGGUGUUUACAGAUUCAGAAUCCCUGGAAGAGUAACUGCUCUGCUCAUAAAUCCACGUACUUGUAUGUAUACGCAUGGCCCCGUGCACACAGGCAGGAGGGAUUUCAGGGAUGUGCAGUGGAUUUGGAUGCUCAUUUGGUUUGUUUGACUUGGACACUUGAAUUCCAGAUUCAGAAAUCUCAGCUAUAACUCUGUUUGUUUUAGUACAUCGAGGCAAUAAGUUUCCCUUGCUAGAAUUAUUUUUAAGUACUCCUUUCUUGCUGCCAUAAAAUACAAAUGAAAAUGUGUUUAAGUGGACUUUUUCAAAGCAUCUCUUUCCCUCAAUGUGCCCAUUUAUCACAUCCAUUUGCUGUUUUGAUUACGAACGAAACUCUUAAGCCACGAUCUGCAUAAAUUUUGGACUGAGAGGGAUAGCAAGGAGGUUGGCAGCACUAAGCAUAAAUUUAAAAAUGGCUUUUUGUUGUGGUGGUUAUUUAUACAGAUUAAACAUCCUGGAAAGUUUUUCUCAUCUGAAGCCUCUCUCAGUUGUACCAUUACAGAGCUGCACUCAAAAAUACAUCAGGAAAACACCAUAUGGCUCUGCCAGCUG